rnacentral:lncRNA from 1 species
GGAAGGGGUGAGAUGGGAUUGUAAGGAUCCAACACAAGUUAAAAAUGUCCCUUGGUAGUAGAUUAGGAAACCUGGUGCUUAGCCUAAGUGUGAAUUAAGGCAAUCUCCCCUUUCCCCUUUUUGCACUUCCCAUACAUGUUCUGAACCAGGGAUUGUGGGGAAAUAUUGUACUCUCUGAGUUUCCAAGCCAUCAGGGUGUGAUACCUAAGGGGUCAUCUUCUAAUUACCUCUUCUGAUAAUUAGAAACUCUUUUUUUUUCUUUUAUUGAUUUUUAUUUUUCCCAUUAUAGUUUGUUUAUCGUGUUCUGUCAAUUUUCUGCUAUACAGCAAAGUGCCCCCAUCGCACAUACAUGCACACAUUCUUUUUCUCACAUUAGCCUCCAUCAUGCUCCAUCAUAAGUGACUAGAUAUAGUUCCUACUGCUAUACAGCAGCUUCUCAUUGCUUAUCCAUUCCAAAGGCAACAGUUUGUAUCUAUUAACCCCAGAUUCCUAGUCCAUCCCACUCCCUCCCCCUCCUCCUCCCCCAGGGCAACCACAAGUCUGUUUGCCAAGUCCAUGAGUUUCUUUUCUGUGGAAAGUUUUAUUUGUGCUGUAUAUGAGACCAAAAAAAGAAAGGAACAAAGGAGAAACAGAAUCAACUAGAAAACAAGGUUUAAAAUGGCAGUAAAUACAUAAUCACGGGAACUCUUGACUGGUGAGUCUAAAAGUAAAUUACAAUUGAUGGUUACGGUAAUUUGUUUUUGUCUAUAUCGACUUCCAGAAAUGUGUCCCAGUAAAUGCAUAAUAAGAGUCCCACAAAAUGAUGAGACUGGUAAAAAAUAGUGAAGGAAGAAAGUUCCAGAUCUUAUAGAGGAGUAAAGAUAAUUAAACUGAAAUCAUAAAUGCUUAUUGCUUUUCAGUGUUUAAUUAAGCUCUGAGCUUCUCAAUAGCCAAAUUAACAAAAAAAAGGGCGGGGGGAGAUUGGAGGUGGCAGGUAUGUGCUGAAGAUAUAAGAAUAAAUCAGGUAACAUUUGUAGAAUGCUUAUUAUGGUAGAUGGCAGUUUGCAUACUGGACCAUGUAAUAGCCAACACUUGAACUUCAUUUCUACAGGAAAUGAAGUAACAUUCUUAAUAUGGUCAUCUUUUACCAACCCUCCAAGGGAAAAAAGUGCAGAAGGUGUAAUAAGAAAAGUCACCCAGUGGGAGUUUAUCUUUGGGAGCCUGAGCUACCAUGGCCUCAUCAUGGUGGAGAUUCUAAACACUGUCCCCAGUGCAGAAAUAGAGCUCAGAAAACUUAGAGGAAUGAAGGGUUAACAUGUUCUUUAGGCUGACUUUCUCAAAUAUCCAGUGUCUCGGCCAAGCUUUUAACUGGAGCAGUCUGAGAGGACAGGACAGCCAGGUACUUGAAAAGGACCCAAUGGCCAUAAACCUCUCUGAACAGGUGGCCUCAAUGCUUUGUGCUUUCAUCUAUGUAGUUAUCACCCUGCAGAGCAGUGUGUGUGUUCGUGUUUUUUUCCUUCCUGUCUUCCCCUCUGAACUGUGGGUUUACUCAUCCUUGACUCCUAGCACCUAGUGAAGACUUUGACACAUGGGCCCAGAGAGAUUCUUGUUGAAAGUAUGAAUGGCAGGGGGAGAAGGGGAGAUGCUUCUCUUUCUUUUCUGACAUUGUAUUAAGUGUCACCUUCUGGCUUAGUUUUGUCCAAAAUGAAUGUUUGCUGCCUGGGUUAUAUCAUAUGUCCAUGUCACAGCUGAGUGUUUUGCUAGAAGGAUUUGUUUUAGUGUCUGAGCUGGUUAAGUAAUAGAUAGCAGGUUAACUCCUUGCUUUAUUUAAAGUCAUUUUGCGUAGUUGAUUUGAUUCCUCAUUCAGCCUACAAAAAUUUAUGUAUCUUCUGUGUACUAGCUAGCCAUUUAGCAGCUCAGCGUGUAGCCUAGUGACCUAUGAGACAAUAAGCAUAUAUUCAUACAAAGAGAUUCUGAAGUAGUCUCCACCUUGAUGGAAUGGAUAUGCAUAUUGGGGUCUCUCAGAUAGCCCCCUAGAUGAAAUAAAAUGCUUUUAAUCUGAGAGGUGAUUGUUUUGUGGAUUUUGUCACCCAGAUAUAUUCAUGAAAAUUGCAAUGCAAGUCAACCAGUUUUCUCCUGGAAUCCACGUGGUGUGGGGUUGAAUGAAUACGUUUAGGCCAGUGAGUCUCCGAUUAAGGAUGUUCACUCUCUGCCUUAAGCUCCCAACUCAACUCCUUAGUCAAUUAUGGACUUUAAGCAAGUGGGCUUAGGGGGCGUAUACAAAUCACUGAAUCACAAAGAAUAUAUUUCCAGAGUUCCCAUUGUGGCGCAGUAGAAACGAAUCCCACUAGGAACCAUGAGGUUGCAGAUUCGAUCCCUGGCUGUGCUCAGUGGGUUAGUUAAGGAUUCGGCAUUGCCGUGAGCUGUGGUGUAGGUCGCAGAUGCGGCUCAGACCUGGCAUUGCUGUGGCUCUGGCGUAGGACGGCAGCAACAGCUCCGAUUAGACCCCUAGCCUGGGAACCUCUAUAUGCCGCAGGUUUGGCCCUAAAAGGACAAAGGACAAAAGAUCAAUAUAUAUGUAUAUUUCCAUAUCCUCCUCUCAGGAAUCUGGUUAACUGACAGCUAGAAUCAUGAUCUACGUUUAAUGGUAAUGUUGUUUGGUCCAUACUGUCCUAAUUUCAAGGAACUUUGGAGACUUUAUGUACUGGCAGCUCUUCUUGUGCAGUACUAUUUUUAUUGAGUGAGAAACUGAGCUCUGCCGUGAACUCAAGUAUCUUUUCCAAGUGGCAAGUCCAGAGAGCCAGGAAUUAGGACCCAGGAACCUUGACUCUGUCCCAGGAAGCAUGUUGGAGACUUUCCAUCUUGUCAAUCACAUACUCUAACAUAAAUAAAUAAACAUAUCUAUGUAUGUAUGUAUGCAUACAACACACAAUAAUAUGUAUAUUAUGAUAUAGAACUAAUAUGUCUAGAGCAGUAUAAUAUGUAUAAUAAUGUGUAUGUGUAUGCAUGUUUUUGAUAGUGAACUAUAGUUAGGGCACAUAUAACAAUGAGGAAGGGAUUGAUCAGAACUAAGUUUCUUAUUCAAAUUCCUAGUUCUAAAAAAAAAAGAUCUUUCAAGGAUCAUGGCUUCUCUUCUGUGAUCAAGAAUUUAGGGGUUCAUUCAGAACAUCAUGAGUGAUAAGCUGAUGAAAGCAAAAGCUUGGACUAAGGAAUGCUAAUUGAAAGCAGAGAUGUCUUCUUAAUUUGGGAAAUACACUUGUGCCACUCUAGUGAAGGCCUAGCCUAGGAGUGUCUACGAUGAGGAGACUGGAGGAGAUUGUCAUGGUUUUAGUGGCAAAAUGUAUGAUCAUGACAUUCAGCAGCCCAUUAAAUGGUCUGGCUCUUGUGACAUGUUGUUUAGUGGAUCUCAAGGUGGUUCAGCUAUACUUGCCCCUCUUUUGUUUCCUUUAAGACUAUUUUCCCAGAUUUUCCACAAUGGUUCCACAGAAUAGGUGCUCCAAAAAUCAUGAUUGAUGUCAGUGAUUGUGACAUUCCUGAGUUUGGGUUAACCUUUUCUUUUCCUCUCUCCUAUGCAUAAACGUCUCACUGACUUGCGUGUCUGUACAAGAACAAUCUGCCUCUGUGACAAGUGUGUGUCAUGUUCUCACCUACGGUGACAAAGGCACAGCUUGUCUCUGGCUUCAGUCAUGGUUCCCAUGGUGAGAAAUGCCCCAGUCACACUGGUGUCCCCAGCUACAAAUCCUGUCACCACUUUUAGCCUUUUUCCAUACUUCCGAAUGUUUUGGCAGAUCCUCAUCUGAUUUUACUUUUUAUUGAUGCCGCUCUAUGGGAAAUCCUGAGUUUAACAACCUAACGCAAGUGUGUUCAGAGCCUGCUUUUAUGCUUAUGUUGCACUAUGAAUCUCCAAGAGUGAGGACAGGUACCAAAACUUAUUUGGUUAUUGUAUUCUUUGGUUGUGUGUGUGUGUGCUUGUAUAAAACUGCAGAGUUCAAUGCAAAGUUGUGAGGCAUAGUUGAGAGUAUUACACUUAAAAAUUAGUCUCAUUUGUUUUAACUUCUGACUACAUUUUAUAAUAAGUAGUAACUCAAAGGAGCCAGCCCUACAGCUGAACCUUUUUGCUUUUCUGUAGAAAAUCUAUCAGUUCAUGUUCAGCACUUAUUAACGCUGCCAUUGUUGAAGGGUUUGUGCUGCUGUAAAAAUCAGGCUAAAUUGCUGGUAUUUUAAAAAUCUUAUAAUCAUGAAAUAUAUCUUUUCUUGGCUUCAUUUCUGGUAUUUAGAUAUAUUAGUUACAGAAGCCAGAGAGUGGUUUCUUUCCGGUAUGUAUGUUUUUGUUUACCCUUAAAAACUUCACCUAAGAUUCAUUGUAAUUUCUACUCUACCUUCAGCAUCUGGAAAUCUAGAAUAAUGAAUUUAUGUCUGAAUUGUAGUUACAACAGGGGAAAGCAUGAGAUUGUAUAUUCUCUUGUUAUUUGGCUUUUAUUUAAAAGAAAAGAAACCAGGGGAGCCUUAUUCAGAAAGUCUUUUUAAAAAACAAUUUGAGCUGUGGCCUGUGUGGAUGAGGAACAUACCAGUUUAUCCUCUAGUGUAGUGCUUGAAGGGGACUCUUUAGAAAAACUAAUUCUAGCCAUUUGGUGAAUUAAUUUGAUCUCACACUCUAGAAUCAUAAAUGUAAGUUGUUGCUAAGGUGAGGGCAUCCCCUGGAAUGUGCCCUGCACGCAUUCAUUUACUGUUAAUUACCAGUGUGUGUGUGUGUGUGUUGUGUGUGUGUGUGUGUGUGUGUGUGUGUGUGUGUGUGCGUGCAGAUUUAUCUUUAUCAAAGUUGCCACAAAAAACAAGCCUUAAAAUAGGUAAACUUGUUUCUUUGCUCCUGGAAUUGAUCCAUCCUUCCAUUUCUGCAUCCAUCCCCUCAUCCCUCCACCCAUCCAUCCAUCCCAGCACCCAUCCUUCCACCCAUCUGUCCCAUCCAUCACAUACGCAUUGAGCAUCUACUGAGUACCAGGCUCUAUGGUAGGUGCCAAGACACCAUGGUGAACAUUUAAAAAUCCUUGCUGUGGAGAUGCUCAGAGUCUCUUGGGUCAAUCCACAGGAGUUAAUUUAGGGUAGAGCAGUGUUUCUCAGCCUCUGAACUAUUAACAUUUGGAACUGAAUAAUUCUUUGCUGUGAGGAGCUGCCCUGUGUCUUGCAGGGUGCCUAGCAACGUCACUGGCCUCUGCCCACUAGAUACCAGUAGCUUCCUCCCACAUUCCAGUUGCAGCCAUCAAAAAUGUCUCCAGAUACUGCUGAAUGUCUCACAGGAGGCAAAAUCACCCCCACUGAAAACCACUGGUAUAGAGUUAAGAUCUAGGGCUAAAGAGUGGAAUGUGUAGAUUCGUAUCUUGGCUUCCCCCUGGCUUUGUUGCAUGUGUUCAGUUUCCUCAUCUGUAACACAUGAAGACUAAAUGAAAUAAUGUAGCACUUGACCCACAAUUAAGUGUUCCUAAAUAUCAGCUAUUUGUAUGGUGGGAGAAUUAAUGCUUCAACAAUUAUAAUAAAUCACAAUAUUGAGGAGUUCCCACUGUGGCUCAGUGCGUCAGGGAUCUGGUGUGGUCUCUGCAGAAGCUCAUGUGGCUGCUGAAGCCCAGGUUCAAUCCCCAGCCUAGCGCAGUGGGUUAAGAAUCUGGCCUUGCCACAGCUGUGGAUUUGAUCCCUGGGCUGGGAACUUCCAUACACUUUGAGUGCAGCCAAAAGAAAGAAAAUCACAAUAUUGACAAGUUCUGUGAUGGAGUAGGUACAGUGUAGAGUGGGGUCCCAUUGUCUAGAGUGGGGAGAAUAGGCAGUGAGAACACUGUAGGCAGGCAGGUGAAGUGGGGGUCAAAGUAGGAAGCACCUGGGGAAUUGCAAGGAUCUUAGUUGGCCUUGCAGAGGACAGUAAAUGGGGUUGUAGGAGCAGGUAGGAGUCACUGGGAAAGACCUCCCUGGCCAAAUAAGGAAGGUGGACCUUAUCUUGACAACAUGAAGAGACCAAGAGAUGUCCAGCACAACAGAGUUUUAUUUUAGAAGGGUUUUUUGGGAUAGGUUUUGAGUGGGACAGAGACUGGAAAUGAUGAGCCCAGUUAGAGGUUCUGGAAUAACACACUGAGAGGUGUUGACUGCUGGAAAAGGGGGAGUUGUAUGUGGCUGUGAAGUCUUUGGAAACAGAUUUCACUUUUUUGAAUUAAAUUCCAAUAAUGGAUAUGUUUAGCAAGCUGGCUCUGUAUUUGGGGAAUUUGAAGUUUAAUUUCAAAGCAGGCUAUGUGAUAGGUUCCCUAUCAAGUGUUUUCAAAUGAAAUUUAAUUUAAAAACUAUCUUGCAGUCUCUUUGUAGCUGAAUAUUACCCAAGGAUUUCUCUGCUACUAAGUUUUGAUUUUUUUUAACUGAUAGAGAUUUUAUUUCUUUAAUGAUCAAAAUUAGAGAUGGGUGGAGAGUAUUAUGAAUCAGUCAAUGAGUGAAUGAUAGUGGCCUUGUGGAAAUACCACCUAAUUAAGAAUAAGGGGGGGAGUUCCUGUCGUGGUGCAGUGGUUAAUGAAUCUGACUAGGAACCAUGAGAUUGUGGGUUUGAUCCCUGGCCUCGCUGAGUGGGUUAAGGAUCUGGCUUUGCUGUGAUCUGUGGUGUAGGAUGCAGAUGUGGCUCGGAUCCCACGUUGCUGUGGCUCUGGCUAGGCUGGUGGCUACAGCUCCGAUUAGACCCUUAUGCCACGGCUGUGAUCCUAGAAAAGGCCAAAAAAAAAAAAAAAAAAGAAUAAGGGGAGUUCCUGCUGUGGUGCAGUGGGUUAAGGAUCUGUCAUUUUUUCUGCGGUGGCUGGGGUCACUGCUAUUUUUCUGAUUUGACCCCUGACCCGGGAACUUCCAUAUACAGUCGGUGC